AGCCAAAGCGUUGAGUUCAGCUCUGGGUUUCUCCCCAGUUCUGCUAAUUAAUCUUUGGUACAGAAAAUGGCUGAGUGGUGAUCAACAUGAAGGGGUUAUACUUUGACCUCCUUUAUUAAACCCUUCAGCCGACAUGA
ensembl:snoRNA SNORA36B small nucleolar RNA, H/ACA box 36B